rnacentral:misc_RNA from 1 species
UCUCCGUUGAUGAACCAGCGGAGGGAUCAUUACCGAGUGCAAACUCAUAACCCUUUGUGAACCUAUAUCUGUUGCUUCGGCGGCUCGCUCUCGGGCGAGCCCGCCGGUAAUAUCAGUAUCUCUGUUUGAACCCGACGAUACUUCUGAGUGUUCUUAGCGAACAGUUAAAACUUUUAACAACGGAUCUCUUGGCUCUA